AUUGAACGCUGGCGGCAGGCCUAACACAUGCAAGUCGAGCGGCAGCGGGAAAGUAGCUUGCUACUUUUGCCGGCGAGCGGCGGACGGGUGAGUAAUGCCUGGGAAAUUGCCCAGUCGAGGGGGAUAACAGUUGGAAACGACUGCUAAUACCGCAUACGCCCUACGGGGGAAAGCAGGGGACCUUCGGGCCUUGCGCGAUUGGAUAUGCCCAGGUGGGAUUAGCUUGUUGGUGGGGUAAUGGCUCACCAAGGCGACGAUCCCUAGCUGGUCUGAGAGGAUGAUCAGCCACACUGGAACUGACACACGGUCCAGACUCCUACGGGAGGCAGCAGUGGGGAAUAUUGCACAAUGGGGGAAACCCUGAUGCAGCCAUGCCGCGUGUGUGAAGAAGGCCUUCGGGUUGUAAAGCACUUUCAGCGAGGAGGAAAGGUUGAUACCUAAUACGUAUCAGCUGUGACGUUACUCGCAGAAGAAGCACCGGCUAACUCCGUGCCAGCAGCCGCGGUAAUACGGAGGGUGCAAGCGUUAAUC
rnacentral:rRNA from 1 species